rnacentral:rRNA from 1 species
UAUUGGACAAUGGGGGAAACCCUGAUCCAGCAAUGCCGCGUGAGUGAUGAAGGCCUUCGGGUUGUAAAGCUCUUUUGUCAGGGACGAUGAUGACGGUACCUGACGAAUAAGCUCCGGCUAACUUCGUGCCAGCAGCCGCGGUAAUACGAGGGGAGCUAGCGUUGUUCGGAAUUACUGGGCGUAAAGGGCGUGUAGGCGGUACCAUAAGUCAGAUGUGAAAGCCCUAGGCUUAACCUAGGAAUUGCAUUUGAAACUGUGGAACUAGAGAUCGAGAGAGGUAAGUGGAAUUACGAGUGUAGAGGUGAAAUUCGUCGAUAUUCGUAAGAACACCAGUGGCGAAGGGGACUUACGGCUCGAUACUGACGCUAAGGCGCGAAA